GGGGGUGAGGUAGGAGAAACAGUGAGCAAAGCACUGGAGGUUAAGAAUGAGCUUGGUGUUAAUUUGGAUCACUGGAAGCCUGUAUUAGAGGUUGGGGUAUGUGGAGGGAAAUAAUGAGAGACAAGCCUGGAAAGGUAGGUUGAGAUUCCAUGUCAGAAUUCCUUGAGUGCCAGGUUGAGCUAUUUCAUAUCUAUCUUGUAAUCAGUAGGGAGACAUAGGUUCUUGAACAGGAAAAGACACAAAAUAGAAUUAUAGGUUAUUAGAACUGUUAGGCAACUUAGAAAUCAUUUAGUCUAAAUACCUCAUGUGAGAUCUAGAGAAGUUAACCAGUUUGCCCAAUACCACACAGCUAGCUAAUUGGUAACAAAGCCAGUAUUAGAACCCAGGUCUCCUGACUCUUUGGAUAGCCAGGUGGCAUAGGGAAUAGGGUACUGGACCUGAAGUCAAGAAGACUCCUCUUCCCAAGUUCAAAUCUAGUCUCAGACACUUACUGGCUGUGUAGCCCCUGUGGCUAGUUACUUAACCCUGUUUGCCUCAGUUUCCUCAUCUGCAAAAUGAGCUGGAGAAAGAAAUAGCAAACUACUCCAAUAUCUUUGCCAAGAAAGCCUCAAAUAGGGUCCCAAAGGGUUGGACAUGACUAAAAUGACUGAACCCCAACAACUCCUAACUCUAGUUUUCUUUUCAUAACUAAAGUGUGAUUUUAGGACACUCAAUCUGAUCAGGAUGUUAAGAUGGACAAAAGUGAAGACCAGUUCAGAGGCUAUAUUGGAAUAGUCCAGGGUAGACAUAGUGUUGGCUUAAAUUUAGUGUUGAUUCUGGAAAAAGAACAGAGAUGAGGAAUUUUGAGGGUAGACUUUACAGAACUUGGUGGGUAGAAGGAGAAGAAUGCAUUGGCUGACACAUUGUGAGUGAGUAAUCAAUGCUUACUGAUGUAUGACACAUCACAGGUUUAGAGCCUUGGUGACUGGAAGAAGGAUGGUACCAUGAACAAAAAUUUUAUGGCAGGAGGAAGAGCAGGUCUUCAAGGGGCAAAGAAAUGGAAACUGAAGGAAUGCCCACCUAUUAGAGAACAAUUUAACAAGUUAUGGCAUAUAAAUUUGGUGGAACACUAUUGUGCUAGAAGAAAUGAUGAAGGAGAUGAUUUCAGAGAAACCUGGGAAGAUUUAUAUUAACUGAGUGAAGUGGGCAGAACUAGGUCACUUUAUACAGAGACAACAAUCUCACUUAGACAAACUUUGAAAGACUUAAGAACUGUGAUCAAAGCAAUGAACAGCCAUGAUUCCAGACGGCUUAUGAUGAAACAUACUACCAAUGUAGCAUGUUUAAUAGAUAUAUAUAUACCCAUAUCUUCUUCUUAUGCUACCCAGUUAAGAAUCCUUGCAAAAAAAAAAAAGAUUUUUGACCAGUCUCUCUGAUAAGGGCCUCAUUUCUAAAAUACAUAGAGAAUUAAGUCAAAUUUACAGGAAUACAAGUCAUUCACCAAUUGAUAAAUGGUCAAAGGA
rnacentral:lncRNA from 1 species